CCACGGAGAGCGGCCGUGGCCCCCCAACACUGCAUAGCGAAGGGAAACUAUGAAGUGAAAAAGUCCACGGGCAAAGUCGCUGCCAAAGUGGCUGCAAUUACUGGUGCUACAUUGCCGACGAAACCCGAAGGCAAACGGACGGCUAGGAAACGUUUAGUAAAAAAAGAAAAACGGAAAGAAAUUGCUAGUGAAAAUACAAACGAAACGGAAGAAUCGUCAAAGCCUAAAGGAAAGAACAGUCGUGUGAAAGGUGGAAAGAAACAUGGAAGCAAAGGUCCAAAGGCAAAGUCAAAGGAGAGGCGGGAACAAAAGGAGGGAGAGGGGCCUACCGCCCCCAACAAAACAAUGACAUCACAGACAGAGUCUGGUGGGCCUACCGCUUUUAACAAAACAGUGUUAGUGACGUCACAUACAGACUGUGGUCAGAACAGAAGCACGGAAUCCACUGAAACCACGACUAGUACUAUUGCUGUAGAAUCCAGAGAAUUCUGCCUUACAGAACCUAGGGCAUCCAGCGCAAUAGAACCCAGGGGAUCCAGCGCUACAGAGCACAGGGCAUCCAGCGCAAAGACGGUGUCCGCCAUGCGGAUUGUGGAUUUACUCGAUGACAGUUAUGACAGAGAUUCGAACCCAAUCAAACAAAUUGAGAAGGUGUAUAUUGUGGAGGAAAACUACAGUCAGAAUUCUAGGGAUUUUUUGGACGCCAUGAUUCAGUCAAGCGAUCGUUUGGAUGUGCGCGCCAUGUCAAAAACAAACAGACGACUGUACAGUUGGUUAAUGGCGAACGGCAAUAUCCCCAACCCUCUACAAGAGUCCCCAUGCAUCGCCCCAAUGUGGGACAGCUCGUGUGGGGCCGCGCAAGGGCCACAUAACAGCAUCGUUAGAGCUCCCACGUGACACGAAGACCAUGUGACAAGAGCUCACUGCGGAAUAACUUAAACUUUGGGAUAUUUCUGUGAUAAUAUUCACUGCCACUGGGGGCAGUGAUUUCAGUUGACACGCCAGAUGACAUUUAUGGAGUCGAUUAGAUUUGUCCCCGGUGUCUUUCCUGGACGAGACCGUAAGAAGCCAUUACUGUGAUAAAUACAGGGACGGCGUGAUUGGUGAAUGUGUAUUUAUAGAGAAAAAGAAACAGACAUUGCAAUCUGAAUAAAAGUAUUGUUUUGAAUAGGUGAAAUAUGUAAUCAUCUUGUCGAACUAUUCAUAAGAAAAAUAAAACAAUUUACAAUC
rnacentral:misc_RNA from 1 species